CUGAGGUCAGUAUUUGAUAUGAGUUGUAUCUUUUAUUACGUCUUUUAUUCUGAGGUCGGUAUUUGAUACGAGUUGUAUCUUUGAUUACGUCUGUUUUAUUCUGAGGUCAGUAUUUGAUAUGAGUUGUAUCUUUUAUUACGUCUGUUUUAUUCUGAGGUCAUUAUUUGAUAUGAGUUGUAUCUUUUAUUACAGAUAAAACCAAAACCAAAGAUUCCAAUAGUCCAUUUUACAAAGGCCACACCUCCAUUCAUUAUCUGUCUAAAACUGGAUAUGACAGAUGGAGAGUUUGAGAAGAAUUUGGCAUCAAUGAAUCUUACUGAAGGUACUGACUUUUUCUUGUUCUCCUGAUGAAUGAACAUGUCACCAGUGGACAAAACAGUGUAUUAUUCCCCAAUCAUCAUGGAAUCCAGGAUCAUACAGAGAUGAUUCUCGUUGUUUCAAAUAAGGAAGUGGAAAGUGAGUUGCUAGCCAAUGAUCCAUAAAGUAUACAGAUUGCAGUUGCAGAAGCUCAAAUCAUUGUUCAACUGAAAACUUACAACGGGAUAGACAUUGAUCAAAGAGGAUACUGAAUAAAAGAAAUCUCAUUUGUUA